rnacentral:rRNA from 1 species
GAUGAACGCUGGCGGCGUGCUUAACACAUGCAAGUCGAACGGAACGGCCCUGCUUUUGUGCUGUGGUCCUGUUUCUAUUGUGUCUGUAAGACGUACGUGUGAGUACCUCGUCUUUAGGCUGACUUCAAGAAACUGGGGCCAAUACCAGACAGCAGCUACUGCUGCAUGAGGGCGCUUGGUCGCAUGCGGCGGUGGGGGAAGGACGGGCGGCUUAUCAGCUUGUUGGUGGGUAGUGGCUUGCCAAGGCUUUGACGGGUAGCCGGCCUGAGAGGGCGACCGGCCACAUUGGGACUGGGAUACGGCCCAGACUCCUACGGGAGGCAGCAGUGGGGAAUAUUGCACAAUGGGCGGAAGGCUGAUGCAGCAACGCCGCGUGCGGGAUGACGGGCUUCGGGUUGUAAACCGCUUUCGCCUGUGACGAAGAGUGAGUGACGGUAAUGGGUAAAGAAGCACCGGCUAACUACGUG